rnacentral:rRNA from 1 species
AGUUGGAAUCGCUAGUAAUCGUGGAUCAGAAUGCCACGGUGAAUACGUUCCCGGGCCUUGUACACACCGCCCGUCACACCAUGGGAGUGGGCUGCAAAAGAAGUAGGUAGUUUAACCUUCGGGGGGACGCUUACCACUUUGUGGUUCAUGACUGGGGUGAAGUCGUAACAAGGUAGCGCUAGGGGAACCUGGCGCUGGAUCACCUCCUUA